CACAGUAAUCUUGUAAGGCAGGCAUCAUUAUUCUCCCCAUUUUACAGAUAGAGAAACUGAGAUACAGAGAGAUUAAGUAACUAGCCCAAUGUCACCUACAGGUAAAUGGUAGAGCUGAAAUGUGAGCCCAGCAUCCUUGCUCCCAGACCCUGAAUUCUCAGCUGCUGUGUGAUCCUGUCUCCGUCAGUAUAAUCGAGAAAGGGAGCCAGUGCAUAAGGAAGAUGAUGCAUUCAGUUGGGACUUGUUGCUUCGAGUUAGAAGCAUCCACCAGGCAGUCGGUGAUGCCUCCUGGGGCUCCUGAGAGUGAGGGUGCAGAGGGUGGGGCGUGUGAGAAGCCUCUCUGGGCUGUCUGCCUACACUCCCCCUGAUCUUGGGGCAGCACGGGGGCGGGGCAUUGGAAAGUCACUCUUCUGUUUUGUUUGUUUGUUUCUGAGCUGGUCUGCAGGACAAGGUUAGGUACAUAUAUAUAGGAAAAGAAGAUAGAGGAUAUAGCUGGAGGACAGACAGAGAUGGAGGUGAUCAGCACCAGGCUGAGUGCUCAGUACAUCUGCGAUGAUCCAUUGUUGAUGGAAGAAAGUCGACCUACCUCUAACCCCACUUCCUGCCCACAGAGGGGCGUGGAACAAGGGAAGGUGGAAUUGCCAGGUGUGUGUCAUGGAGUGGGUUGGACAGGGGGGCAUACUGUACUUGCCUCUCAUGAAACCUUAGCACUCCUUAAUUGGAAUGGCUAGAUUUGGAGAUACAUAAAUAUGGAAUUGAAGCAUAUGUAUGUCAUAUUUUGUUAAACUGGAAAAUUCCACAGGAAAACUGUAGGCAUAAAAUCCAGCUACUGCAUUCAGACACCACAAUGGUCAAAGGCAGCUGGGAGGCAAAAGUGACUGGCCUACUGUGGUUGGUGUCAGCAAGGAGGACAAAGACAGUCUGCAGUUAGAUAAAGCGUUUGGGUGAAUCUCCUGGCCGAGUGCUCCUGUGGGGCUUAGAUAACGCUGAUGAAUAUGUGCGUUUUGAAAUGAUCGGGAGUCAGUCUGAUAAUCUAUCACAUAUAAAGAUGCCUUUGGGGGCAACUAACCCGUUCUCUACUGUUGUGAAGUCCAACCCUUUAUGAGGAGGAGGACCUGGCAACAUCCCCACAGUCUUUAUCGCUAUCAGCCAUCAUCAUUGCCAGGGUGAGUUACUGACAUGCCUGCCUACGUAUGGUGAUGGAUAAAGCUCUGUCUAGAACAUGACCCAAGUCCUCCUUGCUGCCCUCAAUGGCUUUGUGGUCCAUUCCAUUUCAGCUGCGCGCUAGGAGACUACACAGGGCAGUGGACCAAGCACAGCUUCCACAGUCCGGCAAACAUGGGUAGGGAUCCUGACUCUGCCCCUUAGAAACUUUCUGGCUUUCAGGAAAUUACUUACCUUCUCUAAGUUUUAGAUUUUCAUCUGUAAGAGGAGUUGUCAGUAAUAUCUCUUUCUCAGAGUUGUUGUGAGAUAUAAUGAGAUAUCCACUAUUAAAUAUUUGUAUUAGCAAAUCUUAAGUCCCUCUCCUUCCUGUCCCCUCAUAACUCUCCUAAGGCAAACAGUAACCAAGACCAGGGAGGGUAUAGAGGUGGCGCGCGUGGGGCCC
rnacentral:lncRNA from 1 species